rnacentral:rRNA from 1 species
AGAGUUUGAUCCUGGCUCAGGACGAACGCUGGCGGCGCGCCUAACACAUGCAAGUCGAACGAGCGAGAGAGAGCUUGCUUUCUCAAGCGAGUGGCGAACGGGUGAGUAACGCGUGAGGAACCUGCCUCAAAGAGGGGGACAACAGUUGGAAACGACUGCUAAUACCGCAUAAGCCCACAGGUCGGCAUCGACCAGAGGGAAAAGGAGCAAUCCGCUUUGAGAUGGCCUCGCGUCCGAUUAGCUAGUUGGUGAGGUAACGGCCCACCAAGGCGACGAUCGGUAGCCGGACUGAGAGGUUGAACGGCCACAUUGGGACUGAGACACGGCCCAGACUCCUACGGGAGGCAGCAGUGGGGAAUAUUGCACAAUGGGGGAAACCCUGAUGCAGCGACGCCGCGUGGAGGAAGAAGGUCUUCGGAUUGUAAACUCCUGUUGUUGAGGAAGAUAAUGACGGUACUCAACAAGGAAGUGACGGCUAACUACGUGCCAGCAGCCGCGGUAAAACGUAGGUCACAAGCGUUGUCCGGAAUUACUGGGUGUAAAGGGAGCGCAGGCGGGAAGACAAGUUGGAAGUGAAAUCUAUGGGCUCAACCCAUAAACUGCUUUCAAAACUGUUUUUCUUGAGUAGUGCAGAGGUAGGCGGAAUUCCCGGUGUAGCGGUGGAAUGCGUAGAUAUCGGGAGGAACACCAGUGGCGAAGGCGGCCUACUGGGCACCAACUGACGCUGAGGCUCGAAAGUGUGGGUAGCAAACAGGAUUAGAUACCCUGGUAGUCCACACCGUAAACGAUGAUUACUAGGUGUUGGAGGAUUGACCCCUUCAGUGCCGCAGUUAACACAAUAAGUAAUCCACCUGGGGAGUACGACCGCAAGGUUGAAACUCAAAGGAAUUGACGGGGGCCCGCACAAGCAGUGGAGUAUGUGGUUUAAUUCGACGCAACGCGAAGAACCUUACCAAGUCUUGACAUCCCUUGACAGACAUAGAAAUAUGUAAUCUCUUCGGAGCAAGGAGACAGGUGGUGCAUGGUUGUCGUCAGCUCGUGUCGUGAGAUGUUGGGUUAAGU